rnacentral:lncRNA from 1 species
GUAAAAGAAAAUGCAAAGUGGGGGCAAUACAUUUCACAUGGUAAUUUUAACUUAUUUACCAACCAAUAAUGAAAUCAGGGCAGCAGGAUUAAGAUUCCUCAUAAUAUAAAACAACAGAAAAGAACUACAUCGACUCAAAGAAAGAGACGAAUAUACCUUGUAUUGAAUGAUGCACUCCUCCUUUGAAGGCCCACUGUCUUCAUCUUUAGAAUCUGAAGAUGUAUCAGAAACUUUCAAAUAACAGUAUUGUGCUGUGUAGUCCAAUAAUGCGUACGCAUGAUUUAAAGGUAAGUUGCAGGAUUUAUAAGAAAAAUAAAGGUAAUCUAUCUAGUUAUAAAAAAUGNAUAACAACAAUCUAGAUAAUCCUUUCAAAUGGUCAAAUCAAUUAUUAGUGGCGAAAUGCCAUUUCAUUUAUCAAAUUAACAAAAACUUAAAAUGAAAGGAUAAUAAAAUUAUACCUUCCUUUUUUCACCAUGUUAUCAAUUUCUCACAUAUUAAUUGUAAAUGAUGAGCAUGAAGAUUUGAAGCUAUCUCAUCAAUCAAUCGCAAAGUUACAGGGGAUUGGAAAUUAUCCCAACAAUACCUCUCCUGAAUCACAAGCAUUUAAUUGUUGUAACCAUCAUUAUUUACAAAACAUUUCCAUCGAUUUCUUUAAAUUAAAUUUCAUCAUAGCUAAAAUUAGCUAAAUAAUUCGCAAUUAUGUAUAAAUGAAAAAGUAAUAUGAUAAAAUGAUAUCAAUUAUGUUUAGAUGAAUAGAUUAAAAUAAAAAAAGCUCAUGUUCUAGACAAUGUAAGGAAAAAAAAACUAAAGCUAUGUAUGAGUAUUUGAAGAUGGUUUAUGAAAAAGCUAUGGAUAAGUUUAUGGAAAAAGGCUAACAUAUUUUUAUGCAGGGUAUGNUUAGUCGUACCUUAAAUAACCAUGGCUUGGUUCAGAUGCAUGGACUAUUUGAGCUCCCCUAAUGCCUAUCAAAUCAUAGAUUAACCAAUUAAAUAAGAAUAUAACAUAAACAACAGUUAUGAAAGACAAAAUUAUGAAAAGUAUUAUGAAUAAAAAGGAUGAACUACAACACAUUUAAUGUCCUUGAAAAUAUUUAAAGAAAAUUAGUUUUUGUGCCUCUCACGAGCGCCUCUCCCAGAAGCUAGGUGACCACCACACAUAAAGCAAAAGCUUGUUUCAUGUAGCACAAAUCUCACAGGCACACAACCAUUCAAAAUCAAAUCAAUCAGAGUGGAAAAAUUAAAUAAACUUGAUCAAGAGGACUUAUAAUCAUUAUUCCCAGCAACACCUGCAUCAUAAAACAUAAGCAAGUUAGAAUCAUAAGGUAAAGUAAAGGAGAAGCUGUAAGAAUUGAAGGCAAGGUAUCNAAACUUAGCACCUUGACCUAUGAAAAAGCUCUACUCCAAUUUAAUUUUAAAAGCAUAAAAAGACUGUGUGACGUUGAUAUUAGUUGAAAUGUAUCAUCCCAUAACUAAGCCAUAUAUAUAUAUAUAUAUAUAUAUAUAUAUAUAUAUAUAUAUAUAUAUAUAUAUAUAUAUNNNNNNNNNNNNNNNNNNNNNNNNNN